UACGAAGGGGGCUAGCGUUGCUCGGAAUUACUGGGCGUAAAGCGCACGUAGGCGGCUUUCUAAGUCAGGGGUGAAAUCCUGGAGCUCAACUCCAGAACUGCCUUUGAUACUGGGAAGCUUGAGUUCGGGAGAGGUGAGUGGAACUGCGAGUGUAGAGGUGAAAUUCGUAGAUAUUCGCAAGAACACCAGUGGCGAAGGCGGCUCACUGGCCCGAUACUGACGCUGAGGGGCGAAAGCGUGGGGAGCAAACAGG
rnacentral:rRNA from 1 species